rnacentral:rRNA from 1 species
AGGGUUUGAUCAUGGCUCAGGAUGAACGCUGGCGGCGUGCUUAACACAUGCAAGUCGAACGGACCUUCGGGUUAGUGGCGGACGGGUGAGUAACGCGUGAGAAUCUGCCCUCAGGAGGGGGAUAACGGUUGGAAACGACCGCUAAUACCGCAUAUGCCUAUUGGUGAAAUGAAUUUCGCCUGAGGAUGAGCUCGCGUCUGAUUAGCUAGUUGGUGUGGUAAUGGCUCACCAAGGCUUCGAUCAGUAGCUGGUCUGAGAGGAUGAUCAGCCACACUGGGACUGAGACACGGCCCAGACUCCUACGGGAGGCAGCAGUGGGGAAUUUUCCGCAAUGGGCGAAAGCCUGACGGAGCAACGCCGCGUGAGGGACGAAGGCCUCUGGGCUGUAAACCUCUUUUCUCAAGGAAGAAGAUAUGACGGUACUUGAGGAAUAAGCCACGGCUAAUUCCGUGCCAGCCGCCACGGUAAUAC